UGAAGGAGGAGCUUGCUCCUCUGGAUUAGUGGCGAACGGGUGAGUAACACGUGAGCAAUGUGCCCUUGACUCUGGAAUAAGCGCUGGAAACGGCGUCUAAUACCGGAUACGACCCUCGGAGGCAUCUCCUGUGGGUGGAAAGAACUUCGGUCAAGGAUCAGCUCACGGCCUAUCAGCUAGUUGGUGAGGUAAUGGCUCACCAAGGCGACGACGGGUAGCCGGCCUGAGAGGGUGACCGGCCACACUGGGACUGAGACACGGCCCAGACUCCUACGGGAGGCAGCAGUGGGGAAUAUUGCACAAUGGGCGCAAGCCUGAUGCAGCAACGCCGCGUGAGGGACGACGGCCUUCGGGUUGUAAACCUCUUUUAGCAGGGAAGAAGCGAAAGUGACGGUACCUGCAGAAAAAGCACCGGCUAACUACGUGCCAGCAGCCGCGGUAAUACGUAGGGUGCAAGCGUUGUCCGGAAUUAUUGGGCGUAAAGAGCUCGUAGGCGGUUUGUCACGUCUGCUGUGAAAUCCCGAGGCUCAACCUCGGGCUUGCAGUGGGUACGGGCAGACUAGAGUGCGGUAGGGGAGAUUGGAAUUCCUGGUGUAGCGGUGGAAUGCGCAGAUAUCAGG
rnacentral:rRNA from 2 species